rnacentral:lncRNA from 1 species
GGAAGCCGCUUUUCCGUGUCGCACAAUUUUUUGCGAAAAUUUCAGGAUUACUGAUCCUAUGUGAGACAGUCCUCCAUUUCGAAUCUUGCAGCAUCGUUUAUGACAAGAUGUCGGAGGUUUUCACAGGUAGAUAUUUCAAGCUGCUAAAACCAACUGCACUUGUCCAUCAGAAGAAGAAAUAUAUACUGUAACAGCAUAUUCGUCCUAAGGAACAGUGAACACCAAGAAGAAGAUGUUCUAAGGAACCAGACUCUUUGGACCAUAAGGCAUAUAAGAUAAUCAACCAAAAAGUGAUUCCAACGCAGUGGUGGUGGGACAAUACAAAGAGAAAAUACGAGAGAACAAUUCAUGCUUGGCAGAAAAAGAAAACUUUAAAUGUCAGAUAGGGAACAAGUUGGAAGCUUCCAGGCACUAUCAACUCCCCAUAAGCGAAAAUACAGAAGAGCUAUCCAUAAAAAAUGUGCUAAGUUUAGAAAAAAGUAAGCCCGUGAAAAGUUGCAAAACCAUACUAUCUGCAGGUAUAAAUGAAAAAAAUGAGUGAAAUACUUUCUGACUGUGAACUUGAAAGGGGUCUUGAUUUUGAAAAUUAAUCCAAUAGGGUUAGUGAACUUGAUAGUGAAAAUGAACCCAAUAGUGCUAGCGAACUUGAUAGUGAAAGUGAACACAAUAGUGUUGGUGAACUUGAUAGUGAAAAUGAACCCAAUAGUGCUAGCGAACUUGAUAGUGAAAGUGAACCCAGUAGUGCUAGCGAACUUGAUAGUGAAAGUGAACCCAAUAGUGCUGGUGAACUUGAUUGUGAAAAUGAACCCAAUAGUGCUAGCGAACUUGAUAGUGAAAGUGAACACAAUAGUGCUGGUGAACUUGAUAGUGAAAGUGAACCCAAUAGUGCUGGUAAACUUGGUAUUGAAAGUGAACCAAAUAGUGCUGGUGAAUAAGUGAAUGCAACACAGUGCUAGUGAACUUGUUAUUGAAAGUAGUACUGAAAGUCAAUAUGAAUCGGAUGCAAGUAUUCAUUCAGACUCUCCAUAGAACUAAUGUUGCUCAGACAAAUGUUUGUUCACAGGUUGCAAGCUUACAGAAAAAUGUUCAAAUACAAUAAGAAUGCUUUUUGGUAUGAAGCACUCUCUUUCCACUGAGGCAUUCAAUGACUUGCUUCUUUUGAUAUCUUGUCAUUUGCCAGAAUCAGCAAUGGCAACAUUUGCCAAAUCAGUAUACAGAGUAAAAGACUCUCUGAAAUAAUCCAUGGAUUACCAAAAGCCAGUCAAACACUUCUACUGUGAAGUAUGCCAGCAAUACAGCACUACUGACAAUGUGUGCAACAAAGACAACUGUAGGCGCAAAAAAUGCCAUAAUGUUAGAUUUCUAUGAUUUGCAGCUUGAGCAACAAUUUAAAGAUGACAUAUUUGUGAACUCUGUCAGAAAGCAGAUUGAAAAUGAGAGGAGUUAAGCUACACAGACAUACUCUGACAUAAUGAAUGGGCAGGUUUACAAGGACACAAAGGAACGGUUUCAGCAUGGAGCAGAUAUAUUUGACUUUCACAAUUGAUGGAUACAGAUGGAGUUUACUUGUUUUCAUUGUCAACAAAAGGAGCAUUGUGGCCAGUGUACCUUGCUGUGAAUGAGCUGCCUAUCUGACUGAGAUUUUCCAGAAAAUACCUGAUUGUUUGCUACUUUCAUUGUCAAAUAGAAAAACCAAACAUGUGGACAUAUUUGACCCUAUUGAUGUCUACUGGAGACAUUACAUUCUACAGGUAUAUGGUAUCAUUAUUCCAUCACUUAAGAGAAGAAAAAAAACAAAUUACAUUCUUAUGAUAAUGAUCAUGACAACCCCACUUCAAAGAAGAUUAAACACAGUAUAUUGUUAGCUCACCUGAGCAAAGGUUAGCUAUUGUGAUCGCCCGGCAUCCUUGCCAACAUUUACCUUGUGAACACGAUACAGAUCACAUUUUGUAUUCUCUUGUCUUCAUGAAAAUUUUUCAGGGUGUUUAUCUCAAUGAUUUCUAGGACAAGUUCGUAUCUGGGUUAUUCAGGGUAAAAUACUAGGUCACUAGGUCAAAUCAAAGAAAAACAUUGUGAACACUCUAGAGGACGUAUUUUCAACUGGUACAACUUUAAACUUGGUAUGAAUUGGUUUGUAGAUCAAAUUUAAUCCUUGGUCAUUUUGGGUCAUUAAGUAGGUCACUAGGUCAUAGAAAAGCAUGGUGAACACUCUAGAGGAGCAACUGGAACAACUUCCAUCUUGAGAAUAUUUGACUGGAUGAUCUUUAGGUCAAGUUUGAAUAUGUAGUCAAAAACUUGGUCACUAAGCCAAAUAAAAGAGAAAUAUUGUGAACACUGUUGGGACCAUAGUUUCAGCUGGAACAAAUUCAAACUUAAUGAGAAUGUUUGUCUGGAUGAUCUCUAAGUCAAGUUUGAAUCUGUGUCAUCUGGGGUCAAAAAAAGA